rnacentral:rRNA from 1 species
UACGUAGGGGGCAAGCGUUGUCCGGAAUCAUUGGGCGUAAAGAGCGUGUAGGCGGCUUUGUAAGUCUCGCGUGAAAUCUUGCGGCUCAACCGCAAGCUGUCGUGAGAAACUACAUGGCUAGAAUCCGGAAGAGGAGAGCGGAAUUCCUGGUGUAGCGGUGGAAUGCGCAGAUAUCAGGAAGAACACCCGUGGCGAAGGCGGCUCUCUGGGACGGUAUUGACGCUGAGACGCGAAAAGCGUGGGGGGAGCGAAACAGGAUUA